UUGGUCUCUGGCCUGUGGAGGAAAUGUCUGCCUGUCUAGCUGGUUCCGGACUCGCGCUGGGCGGGUGGCGUGUAGGCGGGGACUCACUUUACUGGCUCCCCUCGGUGUCUGCGUGAGUUCAUUUCCAACACUGAGAUCGUAUAUAGAAACGUCCAUCGUAGGAGGGAUGACCGUCAGGAUGACGCCUUCAUAGAUGCAACAGAAGAGGCAAGAGCAAGGCCCCGGCCAUCCGCCCCCCCCCCAUUCGAUCCGGUCGAUAUACAGCACCCCUGGUGGCUGUAAGCGGAGGGAGCUCCCCAUCGGUCGGCGGCGGAACGGAGUCCAGAUCCAGACAGCCGGGGCUGUUAGCUGGGGGAAGCCGUGUUCUUUGCAGUGAGGCUCGGCGAGCAAUCCUCAUGGAGAGUUACAACCUACAGACUUUCUGUCUCUGCCGUAUAUAUAUUCCACAACAUGGGGACGUGGUUGAGAAAGCUGUUGAAAGUUUCGCUAGACCCUCAGCAGCCCCUGUGGCCUGACAAGCCUCUCGCGUGAGACACUCCAGAUGGGAUUCCACACUUAGAGCCGUCCUAAUGACCUGGAGUAUCACCAGAACCGGCAGAGAUGUUGCUUUGGCCAAGGUGGGGGAAACCUAGUUGGAAAAUGAGAAAAAGCAUCCAGUUACACGACCGCCUCACUUGACAAAGGUUCAGGAGCCAAAGAGCUCAUUGACCCCCCAUAGUGACCGUCUCGUGCCUCCACCAGCGAACUCCUAGAACAAUGGGUGCCUGCAGGUAUUUAUACAGAUCGGUAAAGGUGUGAAAGGUAUUGUCCACGCCCCUGGACAUGUGACGCCUCCUGGUGAGUUCAAUCCCUGAGGCCUGGAGAUAGAGCCCUCUGAGAAGGGAAGCGGUGUGUUGAUACGCCCAGGAGCAGUGGAAAAAAAGGCCUGUGUGAACUACGGAGGCGGAGACGGUCUGGAAGUACCCGCGGCUGGAAAUCCCGAGACGGAGACGGUUUACCGAGCAUCGGUUGCGAUCGAACACGGGGAAACGCACUUCCUGGCAGAGCGACCCCCAUUUGGGAAAAACCUCUUCGAAUGCAGACGUCAGUGUGUGUCGCCUACAGAUUGAAGACACGAUGUGAACACACAACUGUAUUAUCUCAUCCUGUACGCUGGGGGAGGUGUUGACAUGCAGCUUUGGCUGUACCAUACAUUUCCAGACGAUGGCGAAUGUGCAAUUGAGUCAGUCACCCCUGGCUGAUUGAGUGAGAGCAGCAAAUGAAGGAUUGUUUGCUCGGUGACUGAGAUCUGGAGACGGAUUGAAGAUGGACAGCUGCGAAAGAGACCGAACCCCAUGAAAAAUCACAUCCUCUACUGUAAAUCUCUCAUUUAAGACGCUUUAAUUCCUUUGAACAAAGGUCUCGAAGCUGCCGUUCCCCUGGAUGCUUUCACACAGGUGCGGCCCGAAGCAUCUUCCUGUUGUGGCCGACACGGUGACCUUAUGGGCUUCUGCUGCCCGCGAGGCGGUCCGAGAGCUGGUCUGGAGACAGAUCAAAGUGGCAAUCAUGCCCCACCAACAGAGAUAAAUACACACUUCCUCUCUUCCCUUUCACACUGCUUUUUCCCACACUACUCAAACCCCCAUGCUGCAGCAACGCCAGCUCAGAGGAAACGACAAACCACAUCAAGAGGUUCGCCGUUGCUUUGACGGGAGAGCCUCGCGCCAGCCUUCAGGAGAGAGAAAGGACGCCGCGGCAGCCAUUAGAGGGGAUACAAGUUAUUUGUAUGUCUUUUUAGAAAAUGCUAACAGCAAAGCACAUCUCGUUCUCAACCAUGCGUGACCUAGAUUGACGCUAGAUGCUUAAAACAAUGCCAUUAAGUCAAUAUUUACGUUCCGCAAUCCUUCAUAAUUUGCUCAUUCAUUUCGCUAAUUGUGUUUAAUUUUCUGUGCUUUUUGUGCUCCACACUUUACCUACAGAACAGUUGCUCAUAAUUGGAGGUCAGUGCUUUUUUCCUAUAGUAAGAUUGAUACCGUAGAUAUUCUCAGAAUGAGCACAGUUCCCAAAAUGUUAUGUUAUUCCUUUCGGCUGG
ensembl:lncRNA